CGGAAUCUACUUUUUCGUGGGGGAUAACGUAGGGAAACUUACGCUAAUACCGCAUACGACCUACGGGUGAAAGCAGGGGAUCUUCGGACCUUGCGCGAUUGAAUGAGCCGAUGUCGGAUUAGCUAGUUGGCGGGGUAAAGGCCCACCAAGGCGACGAUCCGUAGCUGGUCUGAGAGGAUGAUCAGCCACACUGGAACUGAGACACGGUCCAGACUCCUACGGGAGGCAGCAGUGGGGAAUAUUGGACAAUGGGCGCAAGCCUGAUCCAGCCAUACCGCGUGGGUGAAGAAGGCCUUCGGGUUGUAAAGCCCUUUUGUUGGGAAAGAAAUCCAGCUGGUUAAUACCCGGUUGGGAUGACGGUACCCAAAGAAUAAGCACCGGCUAACUUCGUGCCAGCAGCCGCGGUAAUACGAAGGGUGCAAGCGUUACUCGGAAUUACUGGGCGUAAAGCGUGCGUAGGUGGUCGUUUAAGUCCGUUGUGAAAGCCCUGGGCUCAACCUGGGAACUGCAGUGGAUACUGGGCGACUAGAGUGUGGUAGAGGGUAGCGGAAUUCCUGGUGUAGCAGUGAAAUGCGUAGAGAUCAGGAGGAACAUCCAUGGCGAAGGCAGCUACCUGGACCAACACUGACACUGAGGCACGAAAGCGUGGGGAGCAAACAGGAUUAG
rnacentral:rRNA from 1 species